rnacentral:lncRNA from 1 species
AUGCCUGGAGACGGGAAUGUCUGGAAUCUUAGAGGAAGGAAUCACACACCGACAAGCAUGGCAGGCUUAGUCUUUGAAACUUAAUCAGAGCCUGAGAUACAUCCAGAAGACUGCAUUACAAUUUCAAAUCAAAGCUGGACAAGUUUUUUUUUUUUUUUACACAGAUAUCACCAUGUUAGAAAAGUUGGACAAGUUUUGAAACCAUUCUGAACCUAUCAUUCCUGUCUUUCAAAUCCUUCCAAGGCAUCUUAUUAUUGAUUUGUUUCUAUAUUUUCCUCAUUAUUAAAGAGGUUGAGUAUCUUUUCUCUA